rnacentral:pre_miRNA from 1 species
UAAUCUUACAAUUAAAGGAUAUUUCUUGCGACUGGAUAUGACACGGAAAUGUCCCUUAAUUGUUUGGCUAAGUCUAUUC